GAGACCUAAGUUACAGAACUAUGUGCCCGCUUGCGCAUGCCCAUUUCCGGUUGGCGCGCAUCUACCACUUUAAGCAGAGGCCAACUCGGGGAGCGGUCAAAGCCAGCACAGAAGGUGAAGUUGACUUCGUGGUAUGAGAACCUGGUAAAUGAAAAACGAACACAGAAGAAAGUCCAGAGAAAUUGUGGAAGAACAGCCUGCAGUCAAAAGGAUGAUGGAACGUUGGCCUGUGCUGUUCACACAAAGUCAGGUAUGGUCCACCUACACUUGCACUAUACUGAACCACACCAUAAGUAAUCAUCAUUUUCAUUGUAGAUUACUCUUUUCAUUAGAUUAUUUUAAUGAUUAAUUGAUCAUCUAGUAGACCUAACAUUAAAUGACUAGCAUGGUGGAGGAAACAAUUCCUUGGAUGUGUUUAUUUUUUGUUGACAGAGUUGCCAGUAAAAACCUCAAGAAAGACUUCUAUGAAUCUCUGGACCACCACACCACCCGUCUCAUUGACCUCUUCAAAUCCAGAAAAGGAGUCCUAGGCCAAUCACUUGAUCGCCUCCUCCAGCCAAUCUAUACACAAACAUCACCACAACACGCACUGCUGUCCUACAGUGUCUUCCCCUGUAUCUUGGAGAUAAUUCCAGCGAAUUCUUCCUCAGCUGCUCAGUAAGUACAUUUAUAAUAAUGAUCAUAAUACCAUCACACAGCGCUUAUUUUAUGACAUCAUCAGACCUCAGGUUUAGUUCUCAGAUUUUUCUCAGAACUUUCCAGCCUCACAAGUCUUUAGUUGCUUCAAGUCCUGCAAUGGGCAUAACAGCAUGACACAACACAGUCUCAGACAGAAUAGUAAACUUUGCUAAAACUCAGGUCAAGUUAGGUAUUACAGCAUGUAUUCAUGUAUGUAUUAUACUUUGCAAGCCAAACGUG